rnacentral:lncRNA from 1 species
AUUCGUCGUCCACUUUGAGCUCCACAAGGUAGGAGCCAUCUCCCACAUCUGUUACUGGUGGUCGUGACUUCCAGUUGGGACCUGUUUUCCAGGGGAUCAAAGCUCUGGAUGCGUUUAGCGUCUUUCAAGUGUAACGUACCUGAGAGAUCUGUCUCGAAGAAAUCUCCUCCAAAGCACCGCCUACUUCCAUCGCCAGCAUACGAGACGAUCCAGAGCUUGUGAAGAACACCGGUGGACAAGGUAACCUCGCCUUCAUUCUCUGCUCUGGGAAGCCCAAACAGGAUCGCAGCUGCGGUACUCACGUUGUGGCAUUCCCGUGUGCCGUUCUCAGAUAAGCGCUGGAGCAAAACUUUGGACGGGAAAGAAGAAGAAGAAGAAGAAGAGCUCGUUGGAAUGGAAGA